UUGAACGCUGGCGGCAGGCCUAACACAUGCAAGUCGAGCGGAUGAAGGGAGCUUUCUCCUGGAUUCAGCGGCGGACGGGUGAGUAAUGCCUAGGAAUCUGCCUGGUAGUGGGGGAUAACGUCCGGAAACGGGCGCUAAUACCGCAUACGUCCUGAGGGAGAAAGUGGGGGAUCUUCGGACCUCACGCUCUCAGAUGAGCCUAGGUCGGAUUAGCUAGUUGGUGGGGUAAAGGCCUACCAAGGCGACGAUCCGUAACUGGUCUGAGAGGAUGAUCAGUCACACUGGAACUGAGACACGGUCCAGACUCCUACGGGAGGCAGCAGUGGGGAAUAUUGGACAAUGGGCGAAAGCCUGAUCCAGCCAUGCCGCGUGUGUGAAGAAGGUCUUCGGAUUGUAAAGCACUUUAAGUUGGGAGGAAGGGCAGUAAGUUAAUACCUUGCUGUUUUGACGUUACCAACAGAAUAAGCACCGGCUAACUUCGUG
rnacentral:rRNA from 1 species